AUUGAACGCUAGCGGCAUGCUUUACACAUGCAAGUCGAACGGUAACAGGCCUUCGGGUGCUGACGAGUGGCGAACGGGUGAGUAAUGCAUCGGAACGUACCCAGAGGUGGGGGAUAACGCAGCGAAAGCUGUGCUAAUACCGCAUGUGAUCUGAGGAUGAAAGCGGGGGACCGAGCAGCAAUGUUUGGCCUCGCGCCUUUGGAGCGGCCGAUGUCGGAUUAGCUAGUUGGUGGGGUAAAGGCCUACCAAGGCGACGAUCCGUAGCUGGUCUGAGAGGACGACCAGCCACACUGGGACUGAGACACGGCCCAGACUCCUACGGGAGGCAGCAGUGGGGAAUUUUGGACAAUGGGCGCAAGCCUGGUCCAGCAAUGCCGCGUGCGGGAAGAAGGCCUUCGGGUUGUAAACCGCUUUUGGCAGGAACGAAACGGUGUCCGCUAAUACCGGGCGCUAAUGACGGUACCUGCAGAAUAAGCACCGGCUAACUACGUG
rnacentral:rRNA from 1 species